UACGGAAGGCAGCAGCGGGGAAUAUUGCACAAUGGGCGAAAGCCUGAUGCAGCUAUGCCGCGUGUAUGAAGAAGGCCUUAGGGUUGUAAAGUACUUUCAUCGGGGAGGAAAAAACAAAACUAAUAAUUUUAUUUCUUGACGUUACCCGAAAAAGAAGCACCGGCUAACUCCGUGCCAGCAGCCGCGGUAAUACGGAGGGUGCUAGCGUUAAUCAGAAUUACUGGGCGUAAAGAGCACGUAGGUGGUUUUUUUAAGUCAGAUGUGAAAUCCCUGGGCUUAACCUAGGAACUGCAUUUUGAAACUGAAAUACUAGAGUAUCGUAGAGGGAGGUAGAAUUCUAGGUGUAGCGGUGAAAUGCGUAGAUAUCUGGAGGAAUACCUGUGGCGAAAGCGGCCUCCUAAACGAAUACUGACACUGAGGUGCGAAAGCGUGGGGAGCAAACAGGGAUUAGAUACC
rnacentral:rRNA from 1 species